GCCUAUCAAUUUCAAUAGCUCAGUUGGUAGAGCAUGAGACUUAAUCUCAAGGGUUGCGGGUUCGAGAUCCGAGUUGGGCA